ACAUGCAAGUCGAACGCUUCUUUUUCCACCGGAGCUUGCUCCACCGGAAAAAGAGGAGUGGCGAACGGGUGAGUAACACGUGGGUAACCUGCCCAUCAGAAGGGGAUAACACUUGGAAACAGGUGCUAAUACCGUAUAACAAUCRAAACCGCAUGGUUUUGAUUUGAAAGGCGCUUUCGGGUGUCGCUGAUGGAUGGACCCGCGGUGCAUUAGCUAGUUGGUGAGGUAACGGCUCACCAAGGCCACGAUGCAUAGCCGACCUGAGAGGGUGAUCGGCCACAUUGGGACUGAGACACGGCCCAAACUCCUACGGGAGGCAGCAGUAGGGAAUCUUCGGCAAUGGACGAAAGUCUGACCGAGCAACGCCGCGUGAGUGAAGAAGGUUUUCGGAUCGUAAAACUCUGUUGUUAGAGAAGAACAAGGAUGAGAGUAACUGUUCAUCCCUUGACGGUAUCUAACCAGAAAGCCACGGCUAACUACGUGCCAGCAGCCGCGGUAAUACGUAGGUGGCAAGCGUUGUCCGGAUUUAUUGGGCGUAAAGCGAGCGCAGGCGGUUUCUUAAGUCUGAUGUGAAAGCCCCCGGCUCAACCGGGGAGGGUCAUUGGAAACUGGGAGACUUGAGUGCAGAAGAGGAGAGUGGAAUUCCAUGUGUAGCGGUGAAAUGCGUAGAUAUAUGGAGGAACACCAGUGGCGAAGGCGGCUCUCUGGUCUGUAACUGACGCUGAGGCUCGAAAGCGUGGGGAGCAAACAGGAUUAGAUACCCUGGUAGUCCACGCCGUAAACGAUGAGUGCUAAGUGUUGGAGGGUUUCCGCCCUUCAGUGCUGCAGCUAACGCAUUAAGCACUCCGCCUGGGGAGUACGACCGCAAGGUUGAAACUCAAAGGAAUUGACGGGGGCCCGCACAAGCGGUGGAGCAUGUGGUUUAAUUCGAAGCAACGCGAAGAACCUUACCAGGUCUUGACAUCCUUUGACCACUCUAGAGAUAGAGCUUCCCCUUCGGGGGCAAAGUGACAGGUGGUGCAUGGUUGUCGUCAGCUCGUGUCGUGARAUGUUGGGUUAAGUCCCGCAACGAGCGCAACCCUUAUUGUUAGUUGCCAUCAUUCAGUUGGGCCUCUAGCAGACUGCCGGUGAMAAACCG
rnacentral:rRNA from 1 species